rnacentral:rRNA from 1 species
GAUGAACGCUGGCGGCGUGCCUAAUACAUGCAAGUCGAGCGAACGGACGAGAAGCUUGCUUUUCUGAUGUUAGCGGCGGACGGGUGAGUAACACGUGGAUAACCUACCUAUAAGACUGGGAUAACUUCGGGAAACCGGAGCUAAUACCGGAUAAUAUUUUGAACCGCAUGGUUCAAAAGUGAAAAACGGUCUUGCUGUCACUUAUAGAUGGAUCCGCGCUGCAUUAGCUAGUUGGUAAGGUAACGGCUUACCAAGGCAACGAUGCAUAGCCGACCUGAGAGGGUGAUCGGCCACACUGGAACUGAGACACGGUCCAGACUCCUACGGGAAGCAGCAGUAGGGAAUCUUCCGCAAUGGGCGAAAGCCUGACGGAGCAACGCCGCGUGAGUGAUGAAGGUCUUCGGAUCGUAAAACUCUGUUAUUAGGGAAGAACAUAUGUGUAAGUAACUGUGCACAUCUUGACGGUACCUAAUCAGAAAGCCACGGCUAACUACGUG